GACGAACGCUGGCGGCGUGCUUAACACAUGCAAGUCGAACGAUGAAGAAAAGACUUGAAGCUUCGGCAGAAAUUCAUUUCGGAUUAGUGGCAGACGGGUGAGUAACGCGUGAGCAACCUACCUCUUACAAAGGGAUAGCCUCGGGAAACCGGGAUUAAUACCAUAUAACAUUGCGACGAAGCAUUUCGAUGCAAUCAAAGCUACGGCGGUAAGAGAUGGGCUCGCGUCCCAUUAACCAGAUGGUGAGGUAACGGCUCACCAUAGUAACGAUGGGUAACCGGACUGAGAGGGUGAACGGUCACACUGGAACUGAGACACGGUCCAGACUCCUACGGGAGGAAGCAGUGGGGAAUAUUGCACAAUGGAGGGAACUCUGAUGCAGCGACGCCGCGUGAGUGAUGAAGGAAUUCGUUUCGUAAAACUCUGUUCUAUGGGAAGAAAAGGACUGUACCAUAGGAGAAAGCUCCGGCUAAAUACGUG
rnacentral:rRNA from 1 species